rnacentral:rRNA from 1 species
AGUCGAGCGGUAACAUCUCUAGCUUGCUAGAUGAUGACGAGCGGCGGACGGGUGAGUACAACUCGGGAAUCUGCCUGAUGGAGGAAACAACCGCUGGAAACGGCGGCUAAUACCGCAUAAUCUCUUCGGAGCAAAGUGGGGGACCUUCGGGCCUCACGCCAUCAGAUGAGCCCAAGCAAGAUUAGCUAGUUGGUAAGGUAAAGGCUUACCAAGGCGACGAUCUUUAGCUGGUCUGAGAGGAUGAUCAGCCACACUGGGGCUGAGACACGGCCCAGACUCCUACGGGAGGCAGCAGUGGGGAAUAUUGGACAAUGGGCGCAAGCCUGAUCCAGCCAUGCCGCGUGUGUGAAGAAGGCCUUCGGGUUGUAAAGCACUUUCAGUGGUGAGGAAGGGGAGUAAGUUAAUAGCUUAUUUCAUUGACGUUAGCCACAGAAGAAGCACCGGCUAACUCCGUGCCAGCAGCCACGGUAAUACGGAGGGUGCAAGCGUUAAUCGGAAUUACUGGGCGUAAAGCGCACGUAGGCGGUUUGUUAAGCAAGAUGUGAAAGCCCAGGGCUCAACCUUGGAAUAGCAUUUUGAACUGGCAGACUAGAGUUUUGAAGAGGGUGGUAGAAUUUCCAGUGUAGCGGUGAAAUGCGUAGAUAUUGGAAAGAAUACCAGUGGGCGAAAGCGGCCACCUGGUCAAAAACUGACGCUGAGGAGCGAAAGCGUGGGGAGCAAACAGGAUUAGAUACCCCUGGUAGUCCACGCUGUAAACGAUGUCAACUAGUUGUUCGUUUCAUAAAUGGAAGUGAGUAACGCAGCUAACGCACUAAGUUGACCGCCUGGGGAGUACGGCCGCAAGGUUAAAACUCAAAUGAAUUGACGGGGGCCCGCACAAGCGGUGGAGCAUGUGGUUUAAUUCGAUGCAACGCGAAGAACCUUACCAUCCCUUGACAUCCAGUGAAUUUUCUAGAGAUAGAUUAGUGCCUUCGGGAACACUGAGACAGGUGCUGCAUGGCUGUCGUCAGCUCGUGUUGUGAGAUGUUGGGUUAAGUCCCGCAACGAGCGCAACCCCUAUCCUUAGUUGCCAGCACGUAAUGGUGGGAACUCUAGGGAGACUGCCGGUGAUAAACCGGAGGAAGGUGGGGACGACGUCAAGUCAUCAUGGCCCUUACGGGAUGGGCUACACACGUGCUACAAUGGCGCAUACAAAGGGCAGCGAACUAGCGAUAGUAAGCGAAUCCCAUAAAGUGCGUCGUAGUCCGGAUCGGAGUCUGCAACUCGACUCCG